rnacentral:piRNA from 1 species
UGCGCCUGGAAAAAGUUCCAUCUCAUGGCUGC